rnacentral:rRNA from 1 species
AUACGUAGGUGGCGAGCGUUGUCCGGAAUUAUUGGGCGUAAAGAGCAUGUAGGCGGCUUAAUAAGUCGAGCGUGAAAAUGCGGGGCUCAACCCCGUAUGGCGCUGGAAACUGUUAGGCUUGAGUGCAGGAGAGGAACGGGGAAUUCCCAGUGUAGCGGUGAAAUGCGUAGAUAUUGGGAGGAACACCAGUGGCGAAGGCGCCUUUCUGGACUGUGUCUGACGCUGAGAUGCGAAAGCCAGGGUAGCGAACGGGAUUAGAUACCCCGGUAGUCCUGGCCGUAAACGAUGGGUACUAGGUGUAGGAGGUAUCGACCCCUUCUGUGCCGGAGUUAACGCAAUAAGUACCCCGCCUGGGGAGUACGGCCGCAAGGUUGAAACUCAAAUGAAUGGACGGGG